rnacentral:rRNA from 1 species
AUUGAACGCUGGCGGCAGGCCUAACACAUGCAAGUCGAACGAGUGGCGGACGGGUGAGUAAUGUCUGGGAAACUGCCCGAUGGCGGGGGAUAACUACUGGAAACGGUAGCUAAUACCGCAUACCAUCGGAUGUGCCCAGAUGGGAUUAGCUAGUCGGUGGGGUAACGGGUAACCUAGGCGACGAUCCCUAGCUGGUCUGAGAGGAUGACCAGCCACACGGGAAGGGAGACACGGUCGAGACUCCUACGGGAGUCAGCAGUGGGGAAUAUUGCCCAAUGGGCGCAAGCCUGAUACAGCCGUGCCGGGUGUAUUAAGAAGGCCUUCGGGUUGUAAAGUACUUUCGGCGAGGAGGCGUUACUCGCAGAAGAAGCACCGGCUAACUCCGUGCCAGCAGCCGCGGUAAUAC